rnacentral:rRNA from 1 species
GCUCGUAGGCGGCCAACUAAGUCCGACGUGAAAUCCCCAGGCUUAACCUGGGAACUGCGUCGGAUACUGGAUGGCUUGAAUCCGGGAGAGGGAUGCGGAAUUCCAGGUAUAGCGGUGAAAUGCGUAGAUAUCUGGAGGAACACCGGUGGCGAAGGCGGCAUCCUGGACCGGCAUUGACGCUGAUGAGCGAAAGCCAGGGGAGCAAACG